rnacentral:rRNA from 1 species
UAAUAUAUCGGAACGUACCCUAGAGUGGGGGAUAACGUAGCGAAAGUUACGCUAAUACCGCAUACGAUCUACGGAUGAAAGCAGGGGACCGCAAGGCCUUGCGCUCAUGGAGCGGCCGAUAUCUGAUUAGCUAGUUGGUAGGGUAAAGGCCUACCAAGGCACCGAUCGGUAGCUGGUCUGAGAGGAUGAUCAGCCACACUGGGACUGAGAUACGGCCCAG